ACGCGGGGGCUGGGGCUUCCGCGUUGGGGAACGGGCGGCGGAGCCCGGGACGUGGAGGGCUGGGGUCCCGGCAUCCGGGCGGCCCGCGGGCCCACGGCGGGGAUGCACCGCCGCGGGGUGGGAGCCGGUGCCAUCGCCAAGAAGAAGCUUGCCGAGGCCAAGUAUAAGGAGCGAGGGACUGUCUUGGCGGAGGACCAGCUGGCUCAGAUGUCGAAGCAGUUGGACAUGUUCAAGACCAACCUGGAGGAGUUUGCCAGCAAGCACAAGCAGGAGAUCCGGAAGAAUCCCGAGUUCCGUGUGCAGUUCCAGGACAUGUGUGCGACCAUUGGGGUGGAUCCUCUGGCCUCUGGAAAAGGAUUUUGGUCUGAGAUGCUGGGCGUGGGGGACUUCUAUUAUGAACUGGGCGUCCAGAUUAUCGAAGUGUGCCUGGCGCUGAAGCACCGGAAUGGAGGUCUGAUAACUCUGGAGGAACUACAUCAACAGGUGUUAAAAGGAAGGGGCAAAUUCGCCCAGGAUGUCAGCCAAGACGACCUGAUCAGGGCCAUCAAGAAACUAAAGGCACUUGGCACUGGCUUCGGCAUCAUCCCUGUGGGCGGCACUUACCUCAUUCAGUCUGUUCCAGCUGAGCUCAACAUGGAUCACACCGUGGUGCUGCAGCUGGCGGAGAAAAAUGGCUACGUGACUGUCAGUGAAAUCAAAGCUAGUCUUAAAUGGGAGACUGAGCGAGCACGGCAAGUGCUGGCUACUGCUGCCAUGCUAGAAGGAAGCCCAGCGUUUCUCUGAAGAUGGCACUGAAGGGGCAGAACUCACCAAGCCAGGCCUCUAACCAUGGCAUGCAUGUGAUACCAGGCUGCCACGGCUCCUGGGGAACCUCCGACACCUGGUUGCUCUCCUGAAUAUGCUGAGGCUGGAGUUGCUGGUCAGGAGGAACACCUGCUGAAGGAAGGGCUGGCCUGGCUGGACCUGCAGGCCCCAGGGGAGGCCCACUACUGGCUGCCAGCUCUCUUCACCGACC